UGUGUGACAACAGUAUCCAAUAUUAAAAUAUAAGCUUCUAAUCACCAAAACUAAGGCCUGGACUAGAGCAACAGCAAAAUUCAAGAAUCCUUCUGAUUCCUCAAGUGACAUUUAAUACAACUGCUUAUAGUCGCAAGUUGCAAGGACAGAGGGCAGAUACGAAGGGGUGUGGAGACAAGUGGGAUUGGAGUGCAUGAUGUGAAACUCAUAAAGAACCAAAGUUAAAAAAAAAUUAACACACCUAAAAGUUUUUGACAAAAAAAGAAGAAAAAAGAAGAGGAGGAGGAGGAGGAGGAGCAGGUAUUACCAGCAAUCUCUGUUUCCUGACUUCGGAUGCAGUGUCUCCCCUAUAAUGCACUGGACCCUUGGACUAAGAGCUAGUACACAUGUAAACUGCAGUCCUCACACUAUCACAAUAUUGUAUCACAGCAACAGGGAAAGUAACCAGAUAAUGGGCCACAGGGGUCGGCGGAGAUUUCUAACUAUGACAACCCUCCAAAAUUAUCUGCAUCGUGAUUUAUAACAGCAGCAAACUUACAGUUAUUAAGUGGCAACAAAGAUAAUUUAUGGUUGGGGAUCACCACAACGUGAACUGUAUUAAAGUGUCACAGCAUUAAGGAGGCUAAGAGCCACUGCUAAAAUGCAAUAUUUCAAUUUAGCCCGGUGGAGCCGACACGGCGAUUCCUUACCGGAUUUUGGCUACUAAAACUCCUGACAGGAGGAGCACACUCCCACCCGUGUGGAGAUGACUGUCUGAUAUGUGCCUCCAGUACCAGAAUGACGAAUAACAUUGUCAUAGGUAUUCUGACCUCCUUCCGGGAUGUUAUAACGCAAACAUUACCGCUUUUUGUGAUGCCGGGGAAUCAAACCAGGCGAGUCUCCAGUACUGAGUCACGUUGUCAGCCAUCAACUUGCUCAUUUUAUAUUCUAAGCCUAUUUUAUUUCUAAUUCCGUGUGUGGUGGGAGAAGUACAAGGGUGAGUGCAGUGCCCUUGGAGUCCAGAAGGAAGCAGGACAAACUCUGACAUCCCUCAGCUUUCUUGUUUUAUAGAUGGGUACAUUGACAGGGUUGAAGUGGAAACUUAUGGGUUCUUUGGAAAGUCAUUUGUCUUGGAUGGUGUUUUGCUGGGGCAAAACAUGUGAAAGAAUGUUUUGCAGAAGCGGACAGAGAUGAAAGGACGUUCUGCUAAAGGAAGCACGUGAAAGAACAAGUGAUGUAGGGUUCUUCACUAACAACAGUCAUGUAUUGGUCAGCCUUACACUGCAUAGUUGAGCUCCAUUUGUUGGGACUCCAUAGAAAGAAAUGAACCAGAAAACUUCUAAUGGUAUGCUGCAGCUUCUGGCUGCUUCCACGGACCCAGGCUGAUUGGCAGAGUGAUGUCAGCUGAGACAGACUCACUUGCAGAGGCAAGAUGUGGUAAGGCAAGACCCAUGGAGGAGACAUGAUGUUUGAAGGGAGUAUAAAUAGAACUCGACAGCCAGUGACAGAGGCUGAACUAGGCUUGCUCAUAGAACUUGCUGUGCAAUGCUUGUUGGUCUUGUGUCUUUGCUGAUCUUCACUUCACUUCACUGAGACACAGCCGAGAACUGUUGGCCCUGGUCCCCCCUGCUGACUUGAGCCAAGGCUAAGGCCUGGCUGUUUCUGCUAGGUAGUGCCACCCCUGUUGAUCUGUGUUUGCUAUCCCAACUCUACAGAACUAGACUUUUGACAUAUCCAUGAUGUGUUUUCACGUGGAUUGAGCUGCUGCUGCUGACCUGUGAACCGAGCCAUUGAUUUCUUGACAGUACAGAUAGAAUUUGCUCCAAAGAACCAUUUCUAAACAGGUCCACUCCCCCACCACCAUCCUUUCUUUUCUACUACCCCAGUGGGUAGUAGGCUACAAGGGAGGUUAAAGUGUUUAAGAACCCAUCAUUAAAAGUAGGCUUUGAAAAAAUUAAAGUUAUACGUGGUGAUUUUUUUUUCUGAGACGGGGUUUCUCUGUAUCCCUUCACUGCCCUGGAACUUGCUCUAUAGACCAGACUGGCCUCAAACUCACAGAGAUCUGCCCGACUCUGCCUCUCAAGUGCUGGGAUUAAAGGUGUGCCACCACCAUGCAGCAGGACACAAUGACUUUAAAUGACAGGAUAAGAACCUAGAGUUGAACAACAUGGAAUUGAUUGCAGGGGUCCAUUUAUACAUGGAGUUCUUUUUUGAGGUUUUCAUUUGAAAAGAGACCUCAAAGAUAAAUCACGUAGCCUGGAAAUAUCCCCCCAACAUAAAGACACCUUACAUGUCAUGGAUGCAUAAAGUACAGGUAGACAGUCUAUUUUGUCAUUGUCCACUAUAAACAGAAAUCUCUGAUCAAAUGUAGUUAAAAUACAGACUGGAGAGACAGACAGCUCAGCAGGUAAAGGUGCCAGCCACCAAGCCUGUUGACCUGAGCUGAAGACUCACAUGGUCAAGGGACAAAGCUGACUCGUGGGAACCGUCCUCGCAAAAUUAUGUGCCCUCGGUUACCCUGAAAUAAAUUUG